GGUCCAUGUGAAAAAAUUCAUGAUGAAAAUCUACGAAAACAGUAUAAAAAGAGUUUUCGUUUUAUGAAAGUUGGCUAUGAGAGAGAUUUUUUGCGCUACUUACAGAGCUUACUGGCAGAAGUAGAACGUAGAAUCAGACGAGGCCAUGCUCGUUUGGCAUUACCUCAAAACCAGCAGUCAUCUGGGGCUGCUGGCCCAACAGGCAAAAAUGAAGAAAAAAUUCAGGUUCUAACAAACAAAAUUGAUGUGCUUCUACAGCAGAUUGAAGAAUUAGGAUCUGAAGGAAAGGUUGAAGAAGCCCAGGGAAUGAUGAAAUUAGUUGAACAGUUAAAAGAAGAGAGAGAAUUGCUUCGAUCCACAACCUCAACAAUUGAAAGUUUUGCUGCCCAAGAAAAACAAAUGGAAGUUUGUGAAGUGUGUGGAGCCUUUUUGAUAGUAGGAGAUGCCCAGUCCCUUGUAGAUGAUCAUUUGAUGGAAAAACAGCACAUGGGCUAUGCCAAAAUUAAAGCCACUGUAGAAGAAUUAAAAGAAAAGUUAAGAAAAAGGACAGAAGGAACCUGAUCAGGAUGAGCGUCAAAAAAAAGAGAAGCAAGAAAGAGAGGAAAGAGAAAAAACGGGAGAGAGAAAGGGAAGAAAGGGAAAGGAAAAGACGAAGAGAAGAAGAAGAAAGAGAGAAAAAAGAGCUCGUGACAGAGAACGAAGAAAGAGAAGUCGUUCACGAAGUAGACACUCAAGUAGAACUUCUGAUUGAAGAUGUAGCAGGUCUCGGGACCACAAAAGGUCACGAAGUAGGGAAAGAAGGAGAAGCAGAAGUAGAGAUCGACGAAGAAAUAGAAGCCAUGACAGAUCAGAA